UGUCUGAGGAGACACCGGUGCCA
rnacentral:siRNA from 1 species